AUCAAGUUGAAGAGUCCCAAAUAGGAGAAAACAUGCGUCCUGGAU
rnacentral:hammerhead_ribozyme from 1 species